rnacentral:rRNA from 1 species
AUUGAACGCUGGCGGCAGGCUUAACACAUGCAAGUCGAACGAGUGGCGGACGGGUGAGUAAUGCUUGGGAAUCUAGCUUAUGGAGGGGGAUAACUACGGGAAACUGUAGCUAAUACCGCGUACCAUAGGAUGAGCCCAAGUGGGAGUAGGGAGUUGGUAAGGUAAAGGCUCACCAAGCCGACGAUCUCUAGCUGGUCUGAGAGGAUGACCAGCCACAGUGGGACUUAGACACGGCACAGAUUCCUACGGGAGGCAGCAGUGGGGAAUAUUGAGGAAUGGGGGCAACCUGACGCAGCCAUGCCGCGUGAAUGAAGAAGGCCUGCGGGUUGUAAAGUUCUUUCGGUAGCGAGGCGUUAACUACAGAAGAAGCACCGGCUAACUCCGUGCCAGCAGCCGCGGUAAUUC